UUCUCGCGAGAGUGGCGGCGCGGCGGGGACCGAGAGCUGCGGGCGGGCUGGAGGUACCCCACCGCGGGGUGGUGCUCUGACUGCGGGAACCGUUGAAGAGCUGCCCCCGGGGAGUCAGCGAGGCGCCACUGGUCUCUUAGACAUCUUCUCAAGAUUAUGCUAAGAGAAAUGACUGCACCCUUUUCCUGAGCUAUGGCAGUCAGACCUGGCAGUGGUAACUACUCUACAGAACUCCCAAACCUGGCAAGGAUGGUGCAGAUUUUGGCAGAUUAUGGCUUUGUCCCCACCCAGCACUGAUGAUAUUAUAAAGUGAGUAUGACACCAAUUUCCUAUGCUAAACAGAGCUUCUAGUUUUUUAUUGGUGCUAGUAAAUAAAGACCACUGAUGAAUAUGUUUUUAUUAUUUAA
rnacentral:lncRNA from 1 species